UGGAUUGCCUAGAACAGGGAAGCCAGUUGGCGUGGCUCAGUCCAAGUCUGACGACCUGAGGAAUGCCUGUACUGAGCCAUGCUACUGGCUUCCCUGGUCUCCAGC
rnacentral:pre_miRNA from 10 species